GGCGUAAAGCGUGGUUAAGGGCUCCUCCAACUAAAGCAGAACUGCCUCCGGGCUGUUAUACGCUCCCGACGGUAAGAAACCCCACCACGAAAGUGGCUUUAACCCGACCCGAACCCACGAAAGCUGGGGAACAAACUGGGAUUAGAUACCCCACUAUGCCCAGUCGUAAACAUAAAUAGGCAAACCACAACACCUAUUCGCCAGGGGACUACAAGCGUUAGCUUCAAACCCAAAGGACUUGGCGGUGCUUUAGACCCACCUAGAGGAGCCUGUCCUAGAACCGAUAACCCCCGUUCAACCUCACCACUUCUCGCCUAGCCCGCCUAUAUACCGCCGUCGUCAGCUUACCCCGUGAGGGCUAUACAGUAAGCUAAAUUGGCACAGCCCAAAACGUCAGGUCGAGGUGUAGCGCACGAAGUGUGCAAGUGAUGGGCUACAUUUUCUGACCCAGAAAACUACGAAAGAAGAUAUGAAAAGAUCUUCCGAAGGAGGAUUUAGCAGUAACUGGGGAGUAGAGCGCCCCAGUGAAA
rnacentral:rRNA from 1 species